rnacentral:tRNA from 1 species
GAUAGUCUAGCUUGGAUAGGACGUAAGGUUGCGGACCUUAAGACCUGGGUUCGAAUCCCAGUGGGGGCA